rnacentral:rRNA from 1 species
UAAGGAAUAUUGGGCAAUGGACGCAAGUCUGACCCAGCCAUGCCGCGUGAAGGAUGAAGGUCCUCUGGAUUGUAAACUUCUUUUAUCUGGGGCGAAAACAACUCUUUCUAGAGUUCUUGACAGUACCAGAGGAAUAAGCACCGGCUAACUCCGUGCCAGCAGCCGCGGUAAUACGGAGGGUGCAAGCGUUAUCCGGAUUCACUGGGUUUAAAGGGUGCGUAGGCGGGCUAGUAAGUCAGUGGUGAAAUCCCCGAGCUUAACUUGGGAACUGCCGUUGAUACUAUUAGUCUUGAAUAUCGUGGAGGUAAGCGGAAUAUGUCAUGUAGCGGUGAAAUGCUUAGAUAUGACAUAGAACACCAAUUGCGAAGGCAGCUUGCUACUCGAUUAUUGACGCUGAGGCACGAAAGCGUGGGGAUCAAACAGG